rnacentral:rRNA from 1 species
AGAGUUUGAUCAUGGCUCAGAUUGAACGCUGGCGGCAGGCCUAACACAUGCAAGUCGAGCGGUAGCACAGAGAGCUUGCUCUCGGGUGACGAGCGGCGGACGGGUGAGUAAUGUCUGGGAAACUGCCUGAUGGAGGGGGAUAACUACUGGAAACGGUAGCUAAUACCGCAUAAUGUCGCAAGACCAAAGUGGGGGACCUUCGGGCCUCAUGCCAUCAGAUGUGCCCAGAUGGGAUUAGCUAGUAGGUGGGGUAACGGCUCACCCAGGCGACGAUCCCUAGCUGGUCUGAGAGGAUGACCAGCCACACUGGAACUGAGACACGGUCCAGACUCCUACGGGAGGCAGCAGUGGGGAAUAUUGCACAAUGGGCGCAAGCCUGAUGCAGCCAUGCCGCGUGUGUGAAGAAGGCCUUCGGGUUGUAAAGCACUUUCAGCGGGGAGGAAGGCGGUGAGGUUAAUAACCUCAUCGAUUGACGUUACCCGCAGAAGAAGCACCGGCUAACUCCGUGCCAGCAGCCGCGGUAAUACGGAGGGUGCAAGCGUUAAUCGGAAUUACUGGGCGUAAAGCGCACGCAGGCGGUCUGUCAAGUCGGAUGUGAAAUCCCCGGGCUCAACCUGGGAACUGCAUUCGAAACUGGCAGGCUAGAGUCUUGUAGAGGGGGGUAGAAUUCCAGGUGUAGCGGUGAAAUGCGUAGAGAUCUGGAGGAAUACCGGUGGCGAAGGCGGCCCCCUGGACAAAGACUGACGCUCAGGUGCGAAAGCGUGGGGAGCAAACAGGAUUAGAUACCCUGGUAGUCCACGCCGUAAACGAUGUCGAUUUGGAGGUUGUGCCCUUGAGGCGUGGCUUCCGGAGCUAACGCGUUAAAUCGACCGCCUGGGGAGUACGGCCGCAAGGUUAAAACUCAAAUGAAUUGACGGGGGCCCGCACAAGCGGUGGAGCAUGUGGUUUAAUUCGAUGCAACGCGAAGAACCUUACCUGGUCUUGACAUCCACAGAACUUUCCAGAGAUGGAUUGGUGCCUUCGGGAACUGUGAGACAGGUGCUGCAUGGCUGUCGUCAGCUCGUGUUGUGAAAUGUUGGGUUAAGUCCCGCAACGAGCGCAACCCUUAUCCUUUGUUGCCAGCGGUUAGGCCGGGAACUCAAAGGAGACUGCCAGUGAUAAACUGGAGGAAGGUGGGGAUGACGUCAAGUCAUCAUGGCCCUUACGACCAGGGCUACACACGUGCUACAAUGGCAUAUACAAAGAGAAGCGACCUCGCGAGAGCAAGCGGACCUCAUAAAGUAUGUCGUAGUCCGGAUUGGAGUCUGCAACUCGACUCCAUGAAGUCGGAAUCGCUAGUAAUCGUAGAUCAGAAUGCUACGGUGAAUACGUUCCCGGGCCUUGUACACACCGCCCGUCACACCAUGGGAGUGGGUUGCAAAAGAAGUAGGUAGCUUAACCUUCGGGAGGGCGCUUACCACUUUGUGAUUCAUGACUGGGGUGAAGUCGUAACAAGGUAACCGUAGGGGAACCUGCGGUUG